rnacentral:rRNA from 1 species
GAGUUUGAUCUUGGCUCAGGACGAACGCUGGCGGCGCGCUUAACACAUGCAAGUCGAGCGAGAACCAGGGCUUCGGCUCUGGGGAAAGCGGCGAACGGGUGAGUAACACGUGAGUCAUCCACCCUCGGUACCGGGAUAGCCCGGGGAAACCCGGAUUAAUACCGGAUGGCCCAACAGCUCUUCGGGGCGGUUGGAAAAGGUAGCUUUGGCCUCCGACCGAGGACGAGCUCGCGGCGGAUUAGCUUGUUGGCGGGGUAACGGCCCACCAAGGCGACGAUCCGUAGCUGGUCUGAGAGGACGAUCAGCCACACUGGGACUGAGACACGGCCCAGACUCCUACGGGAGGCAGCAGUGGGGAAUCUUGCGCAAUGGGCGAAAGCCUGACGCAGCGACGCCGCGUGC